rnacentral:rRNA from 1 species
UUACAGCUCUUUUUUGAACAGUUAUACCACAACCAGGUGGAUCUCUCUGGCAUCAAUCAAGCUCACAUUUCCCUCUUGCCCAAGAAGGAAACACCUCUGGAGCUGCGCGAUUUCAGGCCAAUUUCUAUGGUUCACAUUGUCCCUAAGUUGGAUAGCAAGGUCCUUGCCCAAAGAUUACAAGUGCUGAUCCCUUCC